GGACUACUGGGGUAUCUAAUCCUGUUUGAUCCCCACGCUUUCGUGCCUCAGCGUCAAUCAUACUUUAGUAAGCUGCCUUCGCAAUUGGUGUUCUGUGACAUAUCUAUGCAUUUCACCGCUACUUGUCACAUUCCGCCUACCUCAACUACAUUCAAGCCCAUCAGUAUCAAAGGCACUGCGAUAGUUAAGCUACCGUCUUUCACCCCUGACUUAAUAGGCCGCCUACGCACCCUUUAAACCCAAUAAAUCCGGAUAACGCUCGGAUCCUCCGUAUUACCGCGGCUGCUGGCAC
rnacentral:rRNA from 2 species